rnacentral:rRNA from 1 species
AUUGAACGCUGGCGGCAGGCCUAACACAUGCAAGUCGAACGAGUGGCGGACGGGUGAGUAAGGUCUGGGAAACUGCCAGAUGGAGGGGGAUACAUACUGGAAACGGUAGCUAAUACCGCAUACCAUCGGAUGUGCCAAGAUGGGAUUAGCUAGUCGGUGGGGUAACGGCGCACCUAGGCGACGAUCCCGAGCUGGUCUGAGAGGAUGACCCGCCACACUGGAACUGAGACACGGUCCAUACUCCUACGGGAGGCAGCAGUGGGGAAUAUUGCACAAUGGGCGCAAGCCUGAUGCAGCCAUGCCGCGUGUAUGAAGAAGGCCUUCGGAUUGUAAAGUACUUUCAGCGAGGAGGUGUUACUUGCAGAAGAAGCACCGGCUAACUCCGUGCCAGCAGCCGCGGUAAUUC